AGAAAAACCGCACGUUCGAUAUAUUUGUUUUGGGUCCAAAGGAGAUUUUGAGACGUGACAUGAAUCUUCACCAUAAGUUUUGAUAUAAAAAAAAGUGUAUUAAUAGAUUUGGAUCCAACGAGAGAGUGAUGGGUUUUUAUGGUCUCCGUACGAACACAAUUUCCUUUUAAAGCGAACCAACCAAAAGAAAUCGCAUUUAUCAAAUCUUUGUUGUUUCUUCUUUCUCUCUUCUAACUUUCAAAAAAGUCAUCAACUUGUCAGAUUUCCAUCACCUAACCUCUCUCUCUAUCUCUCCACCCAUAACAACAA